AUUGAACGCUGGCGGCAGGCCUAACACAUGCAAGUCGAACGAGUGGCGGACGUGUGAGUAAUUUCUGGGAAUCUGCCUGGUAGUGGGGGAUAACGUCCGGAAACGGGCGCUAAUACCGCAUACCAUCAGAUGUGCCCAGAUGGGCUUAGCUUGUUGGUGGGGUAACGGCUCACCAAGGCGACGAUCCCUAGCUGGUCUGAGAGGAUGACAAGCCACACUGGAACUGGGACACGGCCCAGACUCCUACGGGAGGCAGCAGUGGGGAAUAUUGCACAAUGGGCGAAAGCCUGAUGCAGCCAGGCCGGGUGUAUGAAGAAGGCCUUCGGGUUGUAAAGUACUUGAAGCGGGGAGGCGUUACCCGCAGAAGAAGCACCGGCUAACUCCGUGCCAGCAGACGCGGGAAUAC
rnacentral:rRNA from 1 species